rnacentral:ncRNA from 1 species
ACAGUACAAACUGAGCAGACCGUGACAGAAUGUCAUGGAGUCGGGUCACACAAGUGACAGUGGAAUUUUACAUCCAUGGGACAGU